UCUUCUUUCUGUUUCUGCUAAUGCAAACAACACUGUUCUUAAAUCUGUAAAUUCUGAUAUACAGCUUUGGCAUGCUAGACUAGGCCAUUGUAACUACAAUACUGUUAAAAUAGUUUUACAAAACUGUAAUAUUCAAUUUGAUGGUUGCAAACAGUUUUGUGAUGCAUGUGUAUUUGGCAAAGCUACUCAAAUGCCUUUUAAA
rnacentral:lncRNA from 1 species